CUCCAGAUGUUGCUGAACUACAACUCCCAUGAUUCUGUAAAUGAAAUAGAUAGGCUGAGAAUCAUGGGAGUUGUAGUUCAGCAACAUCUGGAG